rnacentral:rRNA from 1 species
AACGAACGCUGGCGGCAGGCCUAACACAUGCAAGUCGAGCGCCCUUUCGGGGGAGCGGCGGACGGGUGAGUACCGCGUGGGAAUAUGCCCUUCUCUACGGAAUAGCCUCGGGAAACUGAGAGUAAUACCGUAUACGCCCUGUGGGGGAAAGAUUUAUCGGGGAAGGAUUAGCCCGCGUUGGAUUAGGUAGUUGGUGGGGUAAUGGCCUACCAAGCCGACGAUCCAUAGCUGGUUUGAGAGGAUGAUCAGCCACACUGGGACUGAGACACGGCCCAGACUCCUACGGGAGGCAGCAGUGGGGAAUCUUAGACAAUGGGGGCAACCCUGAUCUAGCCAUGGCGCGUGAGUGAUGAAGGCCUUAGGGUUGUAAAGCUCUUUCAGCUGGGAAGAUAAUGACGGUACCAGCAGAAGAAGCCCCGGCUAACUCCGUGC